AAAACAUGUCUUUUUGAUAAAAAUUUAAAGUCAGGUCUGCUCACUGAAUUAAUUUAAAGAGCCGCAGUAUAUUGACUGUGCAAAGGUAGCAUAAUCAUUAGUUUUUUAAUUGGGAACUAGAAUGAAAGAUUAGACGAAAAAUUAAUUUUCUUUAUUUUAAUAAAUUUAACUUUAAAUUUAAGUGAAAAUGCUUAAAUAUAAUUAAAAGACGAGAAGACCCUAUAGAUUUUUAUUAUCGAAAUAAAUUUUUAAAUUUAAUUUAGUAAAAUAAUUUAAUUGGGGCGAUUUUAUAAUAUAAAUAACUUAAUUUUUUAAAACCAUAAAUAAUUGAAUAUUUGAUCUAAAAUUUUUAAAGAAAAGAUUAAAUUACCUUAGGGAUAACAGCGUAAUUUUAUUUAAGAGUUCAUAUCUAUAAUAAAGUUUGCGACCUCGAUGUUGAAUUAAGAUAAUAUAUUGGAGUAGAAAUUAAUAUAAUUAGUCUGUCGGACUAUU
rnacentral:rRNA from 1 species